UCAAACUCCAGCGUGACCUCCAGCUGGCCCACGGUGAAGUCGUGGCCGAAGUUGUUGGCGAUGGACGAGAUGGAGCUGAGCGAGUCGGUGGAGAUGGAGCGGUUGAGCUGGACCACGCUGCUCAGGUCCGGCUCUCGGCCCAUCAGCUCCAGGUGGCCCAGGUCCCUGAGGCCGUCCGGGGUGUCGCACGCUGCCAGGCUGGGCUUGCGGCUGGACGUGGUGGAGGUGCGGCGGUGGUUGUUGGCUGCCACUCGCUUCAUAGGAGACGUUUGAAAGAUAUCUGUAGUCAAAGUUGGGGAAGGGCGACGGCGCUGGGAAGGUUCCAGACUUCCACAGCUUCCAGAUGUUCAGGCCGGCCGCGGCCAGCAGCACCACAAAGCCAAACAGUUGUUGUCCACUCACCACUCAGAUGGUAGCCUGAAAUAUCCCCACUCGGAGGCGAGGACAUGGUGCAGCAGCCAGCCUGCGAAUGAAUAAGAUGGAAAACCUGGAGAUAGAUUUCGUUACUGCUAACACAUGUUGCUGGUGAUGGUGCAGAAAGAAACCCAGUCAUCUGUUGAAAAAUGGAACUCGGGUCACGUCACAUUCAGAUUUGAUCACUUUU